ACGGGAGGCAGCAGUGGGGAAUAUUGCACAAUGGGGGAAACCCUGAUGUAGCGACGCCGCGUGAGUGAAGAAGUAUUUCGGUAUGUAAAGCUCUAUCAGCAGGGAAGAAAAUGACGGUACCUGACUAAGAAGCCCCGGCUAACUACGUGCCAGCAGCCGCGGUAAUACGUAGGGGGCAAGCGUUAUCCGGAUUUACUGGGUGUAAAGGGAGCGUAGACGGCAUUGCAAGUCUGAUGUGAAAGCCCGGGGCUUAACUCCGGGACUGCAUUGGAAACUGUAGAGCUAGAGUGCAGGAGAGGUAAGUGGAAUUCCUAGUGUAGCGGUGAAAUGCGUAGAUAUUAGGAGGAACACCAGUGGCGAAGGCGGCUUACUGGACUGUAACUGACGUUGAGGCUCGAAAGCGUGGGGAGCAAACAGGAUUAGAUACCCUGGUA
rnacentral:rRNA from 1 species